rnacentral:rRNA from 1 species
AGAUUGAACGCUGGCGGCAUGCUUUACACAUGCAAGUCGAGCGGCAGCGCGGGGGCAACCCUGGCGGCGAGCGGCGAACGGGUGAGGAAUACAUCGGAACGUACCCCGGAGUGGGGGAUAACGCCGCGAAAGCGGCGCUAAUACCGCAUAUGCUCUGAGGAGGAAAGUGGGGGGACUCGCAAGGGCCUCACGCUCUGGGAGCGGCCGAUGUCCGAUUAGCUAGUUGGUGGGUAAAGGCCCACCAAGGCGACGAUCGGUAGCUGGUCUGAGAGGAUGAUCAGCCACACUGGGACUGAGACACGGCCCAGACUCCUACGGGAGGCAGCAGUGGGGAAUUUUGGACAAGUGGGGGCAACCCUGAUCCAGCCAUGCCGCGUGCGGGAAGAGGCCUUGGUUGUAACCGCGUUUAGUCGGAAGAAAAGGUUAUCCGUAACAGGAUGACUGUUGACGGUACCGGCGGAAGUAAGCACCGGCUAACGUACGUGCCAGCAGCCGC